UAGGGAAUAUUGGUCAAUGGAUGCAAGUCUGAACCAGCCAUGCCGCGUGCAGGAAGAAGGCCUUCUGGGUUGUAGACUGCUUUUAUCUGGGGAUAAAAAGGGGGUGCGCCCCCAACUGAAGGUACCAGAUGAAUAAGCCACGGCUAACUACGUG
rnacentral:rRNA from 1 species